AAAGCCGUUUUAUAUCUUAGCAUUAUUAUGCCGGUUAUAAUGGUGAAUAUUACUCUACAUUAUUGAUAUAUGUUGAUAAAACUGUAUUGUAUUGCAAUAUAUAUUCAGAGAAUACUCGUAAUUGCCGUAAAGAAAGUGGGAACACAUCGAAUAUAGAACAAGUAUAGGACAUGCUUAUCCCGAUAGAAGGGGUAUAUGUUUAACAUUUUGUGGUACAUUCAGUAAACAUACAUGUCCUCAGGGGUACGAGUGUCGGAGUAAUGGAUGUGGACACGAAUGCUACAGACCAAUGAAUUUUCAAGCUCCAGCAAAUUGUAUUGCACCAUCAUGUGAAGGUCAAAGUCACUGUCCUGUAGGAUAUAAAGUGGAUAGUAAUGGUUGUGAUACUUGUGACUGUGAUUGGUCUGCUAUGAAGGAUUACUCUCAACUUGGAUAGUAAAAUAAAAGAAUCUUCAAUAUUCAAA